GACCAGGUGGCGCAACGGUAGCGCACUCGAUUCCAGAUCGAUAGGUUGUAGGUUCAAAUCCUGUCCUGGUCA